rnacentral:lncRNA from 1 species
UGGUAUUAGUGAAAAAUCAGUUUCGAAAAAUUUAAAAAUAUGCUCGUGGAAUAUUUCAAAGGGCUUACUACGUAAAUUAGCAGACGAUGAAUUUGUAAAUAUGUUGUGUGAAUACGAUGUUAUAUGUUUUAAUGAGUGUUGGGUCAAAUGCCCUAAGGAAUUCGAUGUAAUUGGAUAUGAAAAGAAGUAUUUAUCUAGAGAAAAGUGUAACGGGG